rnacentral:rRNA from 1 species
UAAGACGAACCGUGCGAACGUUAUUCGGAAUCACUGGGCUUAAAGCGCGUGUAGGCGGACCGGCACGUCUGGUGCUGAAAUCCCCCGGCUCAACCGGGGAAGGGGCACGGAUACGACCGGUCUGGAGGGGGGUAGGGGGCGCCGGAACUUCCGGUGGAGCGGUGAAAUGCGUUGAGAUCGGAAGGAACGCCCGUGGCGAAAGCGGGCGCCUGGACCCCACCUGACGCUGAGACGCGAAAGCCAGGGGAGCGAACGGGAUUAGAUACCCCGGUAGUCCUGGCCGUAAACCAUGAGCACUGGGUAGGGGGCUCGCCGAUGGGCUCCCUGCCGCAGCGAAAGCGUGAAGUGCUCCGCCUGGGGAGUAUGGUCGCAAGGCUG